rnacentral:rRNA from 1 species
AAAGGGUGCGUAGGUGGCUGAUUAAGUCAGUGGUGAAAUACAGCCGCUUAACGGUUGAGGUGCCAUUGAUACUGAUCAGCUUGAAAUAAUUGGAGGCUGCCGGAAUGGAUGGUGUAGCGGUGAAAUGCAUAGAUAUCAUCCAGAACACCGAUUGCGAAGGCAGGUGGCUACGAUUUGUUUGACACUGAGGCACGAAAGCAUGGGGAGCAAACAGGAUUAGAUACCCUGGU